UACGUAGGCAGCGAGCGUUGUUCGGAUUUACUGGGCGUAAAGCGUGCGUAGGCGGUGGUCCAAGUCUGGUGUGAAAUCUCCCGGCUCAACUGGGAGGGUGCGCCGGAAACUGGGCCGCUGGAGUAUGGGAGAGGCAAGCGGAAUUCCAGGUGUAGCGGUGAAAUGCGUAGAUAUUGGGAGGAACACCAAUGGCGAAGGCAGCUCGCUGGGACGGUACUGACGCUGAGGCGCGAAAGCGUGGGGAGCAAACAGG
rnacentral:rRNA from 1 species